rnacentral:rRNA from 1 species
GAUGAACGCUGGCGGCGUGCCUAAUACAUGCAAGUCGAGCGAACAGACGAGGAGCUUGCUCCUCUGACGUUAGCGGCGGACGUGUGAGUAACACGUGGAUAACCUACCUAUAAGACUGGGAUAACUUCGGGAAACCAGAGCUAAUACCGGAUAAUAUAUUGAACCGCAUGGUUCAAUAGUUACAGACGGUUUUGCUGUCACUUAUAGAUGGAUCAGCGCCGCAUGAGCUAGUUGGUAAAGUACCGGCUUACCAAGGCGACGAUGCGUAGCAGGACUCAGAGGAGGAUCGGCGACACGUGGACUUAGACAGGGACGAGACUCCGAGGGGAGGCAGCAGUGGGGAAUUUGGGACAAUUGGUGAAAGUCUGAUCCCACCAGGGCGCGUGAAGGAUGAAGGUCUUCGGGUUGUAAACUGCUUUUGUACGGAAAGAAAAGACUUCUUUUAAUACAGGAGGGUCAUGACGGUACCGUAAGAAUAAGCACCGGCUAACUACGUG